rnacentral:rRNA from 1 species
UAGGGAAUCUUCGGCAAUGGACGAAAGUCUGACCGAGCAACGCCGCGUGAGUGAAGAAGGUUUUCGGAUCGUAAAACUCUGUUGGUAGAGAAGAACGUUGGUGAGAGUGGAAAGCUCAUCAAGUGACGGUAACUACCCAGAAAGGGACGGCUAACUACGUGCCAGCAGCCGCGGUAAUACGUAGGUCCCGAGCGUUGUCCGGAUUUAUUGGGCGUAAAGCGAGCGCAGGUGGUUUAUUAAGUCUGGUGUAAAAGGCAGUGGCUCAACCAUUGUAUGCAUUGGAAACUGGUAGACUUGAGUGCAGGAGAGGAGAGUGGAAUUCCAUGUGUAGCGGUGAAAUGCGUAGAUAUAUGGAGGAACACCGGUGGCGAAAGCGGCUCUCUGGCCUGUAACUGACACUGAGGCUCGAAAGCGUGGGGAGCAAACAGGAUUAGAUACCCUGGUAGUCCACGCCGUAAACGAUGAGUGCUAGAUGUAGGGAGCUAUAAGUUCUCUGUAUCGCAGCUAACGCAAUAAGCACUCCGCCUGGGGAGUACGACCGC